GAUAAUUGAAUAUUUGAUAUUGAAAAGUGAAUUGAGUUGUAUUGAAUUAUGAAUUAAUGUGAAUAAUUGAAAUAUAUUUGUUGAAUUGAAUGAAAAUAUAUGAAAUUAUGAAAAUGUGUGAAUAUAUGUGAUUAUUAGAAUGGUAUAUUGAUGAAAGAUUUAUUAAAUUGAGAAAGUGAAUCAAAUACCUUAUUAACAGUAUCGGACCAGAUUGGAUACAAAUGGCAUGCCAUUGGAUUU
rnacentral:lncRNA from 1 species